GUGCUCACUUUGGCAGCACAUAUCGUAAAACUGGAACGAUACAGAGAUUAGCAUGGCCCCAUACAAGUAUGAUAUGCAAAUUCAUGAAGCAUUCCAGGUUUUU
ensembl:snRNA U6 U6 spliceosomal RNA